GCUGAUCUGGUCUAAUGGUAAGAUUCUGUGCUAUUACUGCAGAGAUGCGUGGUUCGAGUCCGGCGAUCAGCA
rnacentral:tRNA from 1 species